GUGCUUGCUAUGGCAGCACAUAUACUAAAAUUGGAACGAUACAGAGAAGAUUAGCAUGGCCCCUGUGCAAGGAUGACAUGCAAAUUCAUAUAGCAUUCCAUAUAUAA
ensembl:snRNA U6 U6 spliceosomal RNA